AUGCCUAAUACAUGCAAGUCGAACGAGAUGAGAAGAAGCUUGCUUCUUUGAAUCUAGUGGCGAACGGGUGAGUAACACGUAGGUAACCUGCCCAUGUGSCCGGGAUAACUUCUGGAAACGGAUGCUAAAACCGGAUAGGUAGCAGACAAGCAUUUGACUGCUAUUAAAGUGGCCUUGGCCAUGAACAUGGAUGGACCUGCGGUGCAUUAGCUGGUUGGUGAGGUAACGGCCCACCAAGGCGACGAUGCAUAGCCGGCCUGAGAGGGCGGACGGCCACAUUGGGACUGAGACACGGCCCAAACUCCUACGGGAGGCAGCAGUAGGGAAUUUUCGUCAAUGGGGGGAACCCUGAACGAGCAAUGCCGCGUGAGUGAGGAAGGUCUUCGGAUCGUAAAGCUCUGUUGUAAGAGAAAAACGGCACUCAUAGGGAAUGAUGAGUGAGUGAUGGUAUCUUACCAGAAAGUCACGGCUAACUACGUGCCAGCAGCCGCGGUAAUACGUAGGUGGCGAGCGUUAUCCGGAAUGAUUGGGCGUAAAGGGUGCGUAGGUGGCAGAUCAAGUCUGGAGUAAAAGGUAUGGGCUCAACCCGUACUGGCUCUGGAAACUGAUCAGCUAGAGAACAGAAGAGGACGGCGGAACUCCAUGUGUAGCGGUAAAAUGCGUAGAUAUAUGGAAGAACACCGGUGGCGAAGGCGGCCGUCUGGUCUGGAUUCUGACACUGAAGCACGAAAGCGUGGGGAGCAAAUAGGAUUAGAUACCCUAGUAGUCCACGCCGUAAACGAUGAGAACUAGGUGUUGGGGGAAUAACUCAGUGCCGCAGUUAACGCAGUAAGUUCUCCGCCUGGGGAGUAUGCACGCAAGUGUGAAACUCAAAUGAAUUGACGG
rnacentral:rRNA from 1 species